rnacentral:rRNA from 1 species
UACGAAGGGGCCGAGCGUUGUUCGGAAUCAUUGGGCGUAAAGGGUGUGUAGGCGGCCAUGUAAGUCAGUUGUGAAAGCCCCGGGCUCAACCCGGGAAGUGCUUCUGAUACUGCUUGGCUUGAGUAUUGGAUAGGUGAGUGGAAUUCCAGGUGUAGUGGUGAAAUACGUAGAUAUUUGGAGGAACACCGGCGGCGAAGGCGGCUCACUGGCCCUCUACUGACGCUGAAACACGAAAGCGUGGGGAGCAAACAGG